AUUUGUUCUCUGCAGUGAAGAGUCUAUUUCUUGGUUUGCCUCUCUUUUUUUCUUUCCUUUGUUCAUUUGUUUUGUGUCUUAAGUUCCACAUAGGAGUGAAAUCAUAUGGUAUUUGUCUUUCUCCGACUUAUUUCACUUAGCAUAAUACUCUCUUGCUCUAUCCACGUUGUUGCAAAUGGCAAGAUUUCAUUCUUUUUUUACAGCUGAAUAAUAUUUCAUUGUGUAUAUAUACACCACAUCUUCUUUAUCCAUUCAUGUAUCAUUGGACACUUGGGCUGCUUCCAUAGUUUGGCUAUUGUAAAUAUUGCUGCAGUAAACAUAAAGGUACAUGUAUCUCUUUGAAUUAGUGUUUUGUAUUUUGGGGGUAAAUGCCCAGUAGUGUGAUUUCUGGGUGGUAAGAUAGUUCUAUUUUUAACUUUUUGAGGAACCUCCAUACUGUUUUCCACAAUGACUACACCAGUUUACAUUCCCACCAACAGUGCACAAGGGUUCCUUUUCCUCCACAUCCUCCCCAACACUUGUUGUUUCUUGUGUUUUUGAUUUUAGCCAUUCUGACCUGGGUGAGGUGGUAUCUCAUUGUAGUUUUGAUUUGCAUUUCCCCGGUGAUGAGUGAUACUGAGCAUCUUUUCACGUGUCUUUUGGCCAUCUGUGUGUCUUCUUUGGAGAAAUGUCUGUUCAUGUCUUCUGCCCAUUUUUUAAUUGGAUUAUUUGAUUUUGGGGUAUUGAGUUAUAUUAGUUCUUUAUAUAUUUUGCACACUAACCCUUUAUUGGAUAUGCCAUUUGCAAAUAUCUUCUCCCAUUCGGUAGGUUGCUUUUAGUUUUAUUGAUUGUUUCCUUCACUGUGCAGAAGCUUUUUAUUUUGAUGUAGUCCCAAUAGUUUAUUUUUGCUUUUAUUUACCUUCCCUCAGGGGACAUAGCUGGAAAAAAAAUCUGCUAUGGCCAGUGUCAGAGAAAUUGCUGCCUAUGCUCUCUUCUAGGAUUUUCAUGGAUUCAGAUCUCAUAUUUAGGUCUUUAAUUUUGAGCUUAUUUUUGUGUAUGGCGGAAGAAAGAAGUCCAGUUUCAUUCUUUUGUAUGUAGCUGUCCAGUUUUCUCAACACUGUUGAAGAGACUGUCUCUUAUCCAUUGUGUAUUCAUUCCUCCUUUGUUGAAGAUUCAUUGACCAUAUAAUUGUGGCUUUAUUUCUGGGUUUUCUGUACUAUUCCAUUGAUCUAUGUGUCUAUUUUUGACAGUAUGGUUUUGUAGCUUAUGAACCACUCUUUUUUUAGCUUAUAUAACUGAUACUUAGGCAAUGAGUGUGCGAGAGCUCUCUUUGAUGAGGCAAUACUUUCUAUUAUUAAUAUAUUAAUUAGUAUUUGUUUUUUCCUCAUUCUUCAUACAGGUCUAAAUGUUUAGAGAGGGUAUCCCCUAAAGGAGCCUGCAAAAAUGGGUCCCUGGAUAUCCCUCCCUCUUAUUCUGGUUUACAUAUUCUUUAAUGAGUUUUCAUUCCAAUGCUUUAAAUGGGACUUUGGGAAGUUUGUUUCAAAGGACUGAAGGCCUGUGGUGUCCUGUCAGCACCUGAGCUGGGUAGCCUCUUAAGGGAAGAAGGCCAGAAAGAGGUCAGAAAGAUGACAUUUCACGUUUGAUCUACCUCUGAGAUACCUCAUUCUUCAAAUUAUUGUGGCCCAAAUGGACAGACUGGAAGGACUCAAGGAAAGAAGAGCCGACGUUGUCAAGCCACCCCCUCAUUAUCUUCUGACCGGUCGGAAAAUGAAACUGUAGCAGCUCAACCAUCAGAGAAGAGGAAAUUGCAAUAUCUGAUGUCUUAAUAUGCAAUAUGAAGUGUUCCUUCAAGUAUUCUCUCAAGGAGCAGAAGAGGAUGAGGAAAUUACAGACAGCUCUUGACUGCAGACCACCCGUGUGCGUUUCCUGAUCUCCAGAAGCUGUCAGGGGUGGGCUGAAGAAGGGAAAGGAAUCAAAACCCCUAUCAGCCAACUUUGCUGCUUGCUAGGCAAGGGAAGUGAAUAUCACUUUGAUAUUCCAAUUUUGAAAAUUCCUGAAGGAUCCCCAAGUCAGAACAUGGGGACAUUAUGACAGACAUUUGAAAUUAUGAACGGUUUGCCCAUUAUUUAUCUCCAUGCAUUCCUGGUUUCCAUGACAUUCAUUACUUUUGUAUUUAUUCUGGGAGAUGAUUAUCUCCUGGCAUGAUGCCAGAGUCUCUGGGGGUGAAACUGGUGAAUCACACCAUAAUGAAAAUGCUUUUCAAAAUUUGUAUUUUUGAAUUUUUAUUAAAUAUUUUGUAGAAUCUUGUUUUCCAUGUAAGGGUAUGUUUGUUUCAUAAUGAAAGUCGAGCUGACAACCCCUCCAUAGCUUUUCAUCAGUACUGCCAGAAGGUAAUCAAAUUUGGUUCAUAAAACUAGGAAAUCUUGUUUCUUUGAGCUUUUUUCCCAAACUUUGUCACUUAGGGAAAAGAUUCAGUUCCAGCAAACUUUCUGUGGCAGGACCGUAAUAAUUAGUCUUUAGCAUGAAACACUAUUUGUGUUUCAGCCAUUACUUUUUCCAAAAAAUAUACUGUGCUGAAUAUCAAGAGCAUCUGGAAAGAGCUAUUAAAUAAGGAAAUUUUGUAUGAUGUUCAGGAAAACACCUUAUUAUUUCAAUUAAAUUUUGCAUUUUUUAUUUGAAAAUAAAUUGCAAGUUUGACACUGUGUUCAGAACAUGUUACCCCAAAACAUGGCACCUUGAUAUAUUGAAUAUUUUAAGCUGAGGAAGUUUGAGAAAAUGCCAGAAGAUGUAAGGCCUCUCUGACCUUCACCUGCCCUUCUCCCCUGAAGCAGUUUGCAAGACUCUCCUGGGAGAAGUGCCCUCCCUGUACGUGGAGGAAAGGAGCAGCCUUUUCUCUCAGAUGGAGGGAGAAGAAUCCAAAUCAACAGGCUUACUGAAUGUCUCCAGCUUAUUACAUUUAGCUUAUACCCCAUUUGUUCUAUCAUAUUUCUCCAUGACUCCACUCUCCAUCCAACCUGGCAUAAAAACACUCAGGUUUAACCUUUGUUUUUGAUUCUUCAUUUCUUUAUGAGGGCUCCUGUACCACAUAAAACUUACAUUAAAUAAAUUUGCAUACUUUCUCCUGUUAACCUGUCUUUGUCAGUUUAAUUUUCAGACUCAGCCAGGGUCCCUAAGUGAGUCAAGAAAAACUUUUUCUUCUCCUACAGUAUCAAGGGUUAGCUCAUGUUUUAUUAGACCAGAGCUUAGA